GGGCCAUAGCUGAGUGGUAGACCAUCUGCCUUUCAAGCAGAAGGUCACAGGUUCAAUCCCCAGCAUCUCCA